GACGAACGCUGGCGGCGUGCUUAACACAUGCAAGUCGAACGGAAAGGCCCUGCUUUUGUGGGGUGCUCGAGUGGCGAACGGGUGAGUAACACGUGAGUAACCUGCCCUUGACUUUGGGAUAACUUCAGGAAACUGGGGCUAAUACCGGAUAGGAGCUCCUGCUGCAUGGUGGGGGUUGGAAAGUUUCGGCGGUUGGGGAUGGACUCGCGGCUUAUCAGCUUGUUGGUGGGGUAGUGGCUUACCAAGGCUUUGACGGGUAGCCGGCCUGAGAGGGUGACCGGCCACAUUGGGACUGAGAUACGGCGCAGACUCCUACGGGAGGCAGCAGUGGGGAAUAUUGCACAAUGGGCGGAAGCCUGAUGCAGCAACGCCGCGUGCGGGAUGAUGGCCUUCGGGUUGUAAACCGCUUUCGCCUGUGACGAAGCGUGAGUGACGGUAAUGGGUAAAGAAGCACCGGCUAACUACGUG
rnacentral:rRNA from 1 species